rnacentral:rRNA from 1 species
GGCCAGACUCCUACGGGAGGCAGCAGUGGGGAAUAUUGGGCAAUGGGCGCAAGCCUGACCCAGCAACGCCGCGUGAAGGAAGAAGGCUCUCGGGUUGUAAACUUCUUUUAUCAGGGACGAAGCAAGUGACGGUACCUGAUGAAUAAGCCACGGCUAACUACGUGCCAGCAGCCGCGGUAAUACGUAGGUGGCAAGCGUUAUCCGGAUUUACUGGGUGUAAGGGCGUGUAGCCGGGCUGACAAGUCAGAUGUGAAAUCCGGGGGCUCAACCCCCGAACUGCAUUUGAAACUGUUGGUCUUGAGUAUCGGAGAGGCAGGCGGAAUUCCUAGUGUAGCGGUGAAAUGCGUAGAUAUUAGGAGGAACACCAGUGGCGAAGGCGGCUUACUGGACUGUAAAUGACGCUGAGGCUCGAAAGCGUGGGGAGCAAACAGGAUUAGAUACCCUAGUA